GGAAAAGGGGAUUGUAUUUGCUUUAUCUCAAGCUUCCUAUGGUUCCUGCUUGUUGUUGGGCUACUGGACUUAUUUUCUGCUCUCCCGAACUGUUAGAUAUUCUGAUCUUUUUCCCUUUAGAAUUUCAAACUUUUACUUUGACAAAUAUCUUCUGAAGAUGUGCUUAUUGUUCACUGGGCAAUCUUUUCAAAAGUUGAUUCUACAAGAAGGGGAAAAGAUGGUACUAGUAUGGUUGGAUACACCAUAUAACCAAGCUGUUUAUGGGCUAGUUGAUAAAUUAGGAAGUCUAGUUGUGAGAAUGAUAUUUUUACCUUUUGAGGAGAGCUCCUUUUCUACAUUUGCCAAGAUGGCAUCAGGUCAGCAUUUUCAAAACUGAAAUUGUCACUGUAUUUUUUUUCUUGAGUACCUCAUCAAUGACCAUUUUUUCCCAUUAUAUUGCGAUUAUCUAUGAUCUAGAUUUAUAUAACAAAAAAUCAUAUUAUUCACUGUCCGUUGGUUCCUUGGUGCCUCAUCAAUUUUUCCAGUUGAGAGUUCUCUACUGGAAUGGAUCCUUGGUUCUUAGGGCCUUGUGUUCUGGAAAUAACCUUAGGAAAUUACAUAUAUUUGAUCCUUAGUACCCAUUUUGAUGGGAGUUCCAUAUUGUG